rnacentral:rRNA from 1 species
GAUGAACGCUGGCGGCGUGCUUAACACAUGCAAGUCGAACGAUGAAGCCCAGCUUGCUGGGUGGAUUAGUGGCGAACGGGUGAGUAACACGUGAGUAACCUGCCCUUAACUCUGGGAUAAGCCUGGGAAACUGGGUCUAAUACCGGAUAGGAGCGUCCACCGCAUGGUGGGUGUUGGAAAGAUUUAUCGGUUUUGGAUGGACUCGCGGCCUAUCAGCUUGUUGGUGAGGUAAUGGCUCACCAAGGCGACGACGGGUAGCCGGCCUGAGAGGGUGACCGGCCACACUGGGACUGAGACACGGCCCAGACUCCUACGGGAAGCAGCAGUGGGGAAUAUUGCACAAUGGGCGCAAGCCUGAUGCAGCGACGCCGCGUGAGGGAUGACGGCCUUCGGGUUGUAAAGCUCUUUCAGCUGGGAAGAUAAUGACGGUACCAGCAGAAGAAGCCCCGGCUAACUCCGUG